rnacentral:lncRNA from 1 species
AACAGUUACCGAGGAGACACUUUGUGUUGGCUUAGCCAGGGUUGGAGCCGACGACCAGAAAAUUGCAGCAGGCACUUUAAGGCAAAUGUGCACUGUGGACUUGGGAGAACCAUUGCAUUCCUUGAUCAUCACAGGAGGCAGCAUACAUCCAAUGGAGAUGGAGAUGCUAAGUCUGUUUUCCAUACCAGAAAAUAGCUCAGAAUCUCAAAGCAUCAAUGGACUUUGAACAUAGAUAUUUACCAUUGUCUGAUGUAAAUUUCAGCCAUAUAUGGAUUGAUAUGGUUUGGAUGUAUCCCCACCCAAGUCUCAUCUUGAAUUUUAAUCCUCAUAAUUCCCAGGUGUUGUGGUAGGUAAUUGAAUCAUGGGGGCAGUUUCCCUCAUGCUAUUCUCAUGAUAGUGAGCUUUCAUGAGAUCUGAUGGUUUUAUAAGUGCCUGGCAUUUCCCCUACUGGCUCUCAUUCUCACUCUUGCCGCCCUGUGAAGAGGUGCCUUCCACCGUGAUUGUUAAGUUUCCUGAGGCCUUCCCAGCCAUGUGGAACUGUGAGUCGAAAAUUAAACCUCUUUUAUAAUUACCCAGUCUCGGGUAUUUCUUCAUAGCAGUGUGAGAAUGGAUUAAUACCUGGAUGCAUGCAUGUUUGUGUAACAAACAGGUCUUUUGGCUUAUCUAGUAAGUAUAAAACAAGUGACCAAAAAGAAGUUGACUCAACAAUGCUUGGUUUCUUGUGGCAGUGAGUUUUUUCCCUAUGAUAUCAUCAGUUGUUGCUGCUAUUUUGGCAAAUUUUCAGGAUGUACACAUAAAGCAGACCAGGCUGGAAAGCUUGUGGAUAGACAUCCACUGACAGAAUCAUUUAAGAGCAGUUUUUAUUUAUGAAACCAAUUUAUACAAGGUGGUUGUUAACAGAAUAUAACUUAGAGGUAACUGGAAUUUGAAUCACUUGAAUCUGUUUUAAAGGGUAAAAAAUGUUAUGAGUGCCAAGAAAAGCAAAUAAAAGAUUAGUAAAUGUUCAC